CGCUGAACUUAAGCAUAUCACUAA
rnacentral:rRNA from 10 species